CACACUGUUGGGUCCUGAGGCAACACCUGGUGUUGUCGCCCUGCUUGGUGGUGGGGUGUGGUGUUUGAGUUGUGGAUAGUGGUUGCGAGCAUCUAGAGCGAAAAGCUGCUGAUUUUAGUGGUUUUUUGUCGAGUGUUUUGUGUGUGUAAGUGUGUUAGGGCGCAUGGUGGAGGCCUU
rnacentral:rRNA from 1 species